GGAAGUGCUUAAUAAAUGCUCUAUUUUCUUCCUAGAGAAAAGAACAGAAGACGAGUUUAGAGAUUGGAGGAGGAGACCAAGGCUGAGAGAAUCGAUGGAUGCCGGGGACUGAGAAAACCAGUUAAAAUCAGUUCAGGUUGCAUUGCAGGGAGUCCUGCUAUGCUGAGAGCCCUUAAAACAGGACAAAGAUCAGAGGGAGCAGAAUCAAGACUGACAGCUACAAUAACCUGGUUACAAGGAUGAAUUUGGACUGCCCAGGAUUUCUGAGGGACAAGAAUCCAGAAGUUUUUCUUGGCAACAUGUAAUUGUUUUAAAGUAGCAUUAUCUGGG
rnacentral:lncRNA from 1 species